UUGAGAUCUCCUGUAAAUCUAAUCGCUUCGUUGCCAACCUGCUAAAAAAACUGCUCCUCGAUCGAGCCUGCCGCCGGCCAUCUGCUAGAUCUUCUAUUAAAUCUCUCCUUCGAGAAGGGAAAAGGACAGGAAAAGUAUCGAUGUGUCGAUCCCGCAUUCUUGCCGGCCGGCCGUACGGACGAGCAACCAAACGAGGGUAAAAAGAUUCCCAAUAUUGCCGCCGCAGCCCGCUUGCUGCCAUCAGCCACCAUCAGGAAGCACAAUUGUUUGUGAUUGGUUGCAUCUCCUCUACAUCCAAACUUGACUAAACGGUGACUCUGUAGUCUGUAAUGGCCGCCGCUGAUCUCUGUUGCCGGCUUCCUGCAAGCAUGCACCAUCUUCCAUGGCGGGAAUGGAUCGUUUCAUGAGAGAUUCAAAUAAGUUAUGCAGAAGUUCAAGUUCAAGAAAACUGGCGGUUCGAUAUUUAAAAUAUUCUGAAGCAACUUUAUUAUGCUCUCCAGCUAUGGCAGUUGGAGCUGUUACUCCGUGAGGCCCCUGUUGCCGCUGCAAUUUCUUGGAGCUCUGUAUUGCAAAAACGCUACUGCUCCGUCUAUCGAUCUGCUACCACUGCUCUUAAAGGUGUUGAUGAAGUUGAAGUGCUGCUACUGUUAGCUUUGCGCGAGGCUGGCCCCUCCUUCAGGGCGAGCUGCGUCUGGACUUCUGCGGCAGUAUGAUGAGCACUUCGGGAACACGGGGCGAGCACAAAAAAACUCCAGCAAGCUCAUCUGCUCCUGUUGACGUCGCCUGCUGCAACCAAGCUCCGGCACGUGACCCAACGGAUCCCCUGAUGCCGCCGGUACGUGAUUUUGAAGGUAGCCGGCGCUGUUAGACCGGAGUUGGGAGGCAGUGGUGAAGUUUCUGGGCGGUCCAAUGCCGUCGUGCGGCCAGUGCGCCGUCCGCUACGCAGCCGCGACCUGCCACUCGCCCGGGCAACCACCAUCGUAGCCUUCUCCCUCCACACAAGAAGUCUGUCGCCUCGCUUGGCUCGCAGCUCCUCCCACUACCAACUACUGGAAUGCGUGCGCAGGAGCUCCAUGGACGGGCCAUGGAGGCUACGGGAUUGUCACUUAUGCUUUAUUUAAUUUGUGCAUUCUACUGCUGCCGAUAGAGAAGAAGACUGGCGAUGGUCUUUUUCUAUGAACUUCCAUCUAAAUGUGUUCAGGCUAUGGCUGUUCAUUGUCUCCGAACAUUUUUCUCUCUGAACAUUUUUUGUGCC